UGUUCGAUUUGUGCCACUCAUUCCCACUUCACAUCCUCCUCCUCCCUCUUCACCAUUGUUAUCAAAAAAAAAAAAAAAAAACCAAAAACAAAAACCACAGCAAUAAAGCUAAAUUUAGUACUACUGAAAAUCCCAAGACCAGGCUUUGGUUCCUCGCCGGUCGCCUAUGGCUAUGGUAGUGGCGUCGUUGCCGGUGCCGACGACUGUUCUGUGCUCAGCGAGAAACACCAAAACGGCGCCGAAAAGAGAGCGGAAACAGGGGCGGGCUUUCGGUGAUUUUGGGCACUUGGCUUCGGUGGUUGGGAAGGAUGUGGAGUUUAUCAAAACUGGUAUUGGUAAAGGGCUCAAGUGGGCUAACAAAGCUUUUCGAAUUCCCCAAGUGUCCAAAGCCAUAGACGAUGUUGUAUGGCUUCGGCACUUGGAAGAUCCUAAUGCCUUUCCUCAACUGGUUCCUUCUUGGCCUCAACCUUCCUAUCCAGAACUCUCUGGGGUCGAUUUGCUCAUGGCUGAUCUCAAAGCCUUUGAGACAUAUGCUGCUUAUUUUAACAUUCUGUCAAAGACUUGGUCUAAGCCGCUUCCUGAAGUUUAUGAUCCACAAGAAGUUGCCGACUACUUUAACUGUAGGCCACAUGUAGUGGCAUUUAGACUUGCAGAGGUAUUUUCUUCCUUUGCCACGGUCGCAAUUAAAAUUCGAACCUCUAAGAUGAGAAAGUUCUUGGGACCGAGUGUGGAUAAGGAUGUUGAUGGCAGCGUGUCUCAGUACAAUUUUGGGGUGGUGCUGAAAGAAACAAUGCUUAACCUUGGUCCAACAUUUAUCAAAGUUGGUCAGUCCCUAUCGACAAGGCCGGACAUUAUUGGUACUGAAAUUGCCAAGGCAUUGUCUGAAUUGCAUGAUCAAAUACCUCCUUUUCCUAGGGCUGUAGCCAUGAAAAUUAUUGAGGAAGAGUUAGGUUCUCCUUUGGAAUCUUUCUUUAGCUACAUUUCUGAGGAACCUGUUGCAGCAGCAUCCUUUGGCCAGGUCUAUUCUGCAACUACCCUCGAUGGAUCUAAUGUCGCUGUGAAAGUUCAGCGGCCCAACAUGCGUCAUGUGGUUGUGCGGGAUGCAUAUAUUCUUCGGCUUGGGCUUGGGUUACUGCAAAAGAUAGCCAAGAGAAAAAGUGACCUGCGUCUGUAUGCUGAUGAGCUUGGGAAAGGUUUAGUAGGGGAGUUGGAUUAUAAUUUAGAGGCUGCAAACGCAUCUGAGUUUAAGAAAGCUCAUUCUUCCUUUUCAUUCAUGUAUGUGCCAAAAGUACUUCAAAAUUUAAGUCGAAAAAGAGUUCUGACCAUGGAGUGGAUUGUGGGGGAUAGUCCCACUCAACUACUCUCUGCGUCCACUGGAAACUCAGAUGAUAAUUGGUUAGUGUAUACAGAGAAACAGAGGUUUGAAGCAAAAAGGCGCCUUCUUGAUAUGGUUAACAAAGGAGUAGAGGCAACCCUAGUACAACUUGUGGAAACCGGCUUACUACACGCUGAUCCACAUCCUGGAAACCUGCGUUACACAUCUUCUGGACAACUAGGCUUUCUUGACUUUGGUUUACUUUGCCGGGUGGAAAAGAAGCAUCAAUUUGCUAUGCUUGCAUCCAUAGUGCACAUAGUUAAUGGAGACUGGGCAUCGCUAGUACAUGCUCUGGAUGAGAUGGGCGUCAUAAGGCCAGGGACUAAUUUCCGACGUGUUACAUUGGAUCUGGAAUAUGCACUGGGGGAAGUAGAAUUUAGAGAUGGAAUUCCUAAUCUGAAUUUCAGCAGGGUUCUGGCUAAAAUCUUCUCCAUAGCUGUCAAGUUCCACUUUCGCAUGCCACCAUACUUUACACUUCUCCUCCGUUCUCUUGCAUCUUUUGAAGGUCUUGCACUAGCAGCCGACAAAAACUUUAAGACAUUUGAAGCUGCAUACCCUUAUGUCUUUCAGAAACUGCUUACAGAUAAUUCAGCUGCAACAAAUAAAAUUUUAUUUUCGGUCGUCUUGAACAAAAAGAAAGAGUUCCAGUGGCAGAGGCUUGCUCUAUUUUUAAGGGCAGGUGCAACUAGGAAAGGAUUGAGCCGGAUUGUUACAUCAAAUAGUGAAACUUCCCUUGAUCAUUUACCAAGUAGGUCAAACAAUGUAUUUGAUUUGGCAAAUUUGGUCUUGAGGAUUUUGCCAUCUAAAGAUGGUGCUGUGCUGAGAAGACUCCUGAUGACUGCUGUGAUGACUGCAUUUCUAUUGUUGGUAAUUCCUCAUGGAUUAGGAUACGUGAUAUUUCUUAUGGCACAGGUCAUGGGAUUAGGUAAGGGGCUCUUCUCUUUUAAUAAUGCAAGAUUGUGUAUCUUGAUCACCGAAGAGACUCUAACCUACAUCUUUAGUAUUGGAAGCUUGGAAAAGUCAAAGUCAUGGUCACAUGUGCAUGAUGUAGUAACGGUAGAUGGGGAUUUCUUGUCCAAUACUGAAAACGGGGUGGGGAUUAAAACUUGGCAGGUGUGUGUUGUAGGCUGACUUGCUAGCUUGAAGAGUCUGCAAGUGCCGCAUGUUCCGUCUAGUUGGAGUACCCAAAUAGCCGGCUCGUGACAGUUGGUAUCAGAGCCAAGUUAGAAAGAACUUGGCAAAACACACUAUGGUGAGCAACACACAGAGGAUCGAAGCACUUGAGAAGCAGUUGGGGGAAUUAGAUGGCUUGGAUGAAAGAGUCAGGGAUCUUUCCUCAGCAAGUCAUAACUCUGGAUCGUCUGAUGCAAACAAUCGCAUAACUGCGUUAGAAAAGGAAAAUGAUGUUCUCCUAUCUAGAAUAAUCGCGUUGCAGAAAAGAAACACUCCAACAAGUACUUCGGUUUCCCCUCGGUGGGAAGAGCGCAUCGCGGCAGUGGAGUGCAUGUUGAAGGAACAAGAAGUUUCCAUAAAUGACACUACGGAAGACUGCAGGGAGGCAGUUGGCGUGCUCAGAGAAGAAAUGGCUGAGCUAACUGCCAAGGUAAACCUGACCAUGCGAGCGGUUGGGAAUGCCCCUGCAACAGGGCCGAUAGGUAUGGAAGAUGGCCAAGCUAAAGUACCUGAGCCGAGGCCCUAUAACGGGGCCAGAGACGUAAAGCCUUUGGAGAAUUUCCUCUUCGACAUGGAACAUUAUUUUAGAGCCGUGCGGGCCGAUUGGGAAGACGGAAAGGUCGCCAUGGCUACCAUGUACUUGUCUGGGGAUGCUAAGGUGUGGUGGAGAACCAAGUAUGAUGACAUAAAGAAUGGCAGGUGCACCAUCACAUCUUGGGCAGACUUGAAGAGAGAAUUAAAGACGCAAUUUCUACCAGAAAAUGUUGCUUACAUAGCUUGACGCCAGUUGAGAGAGCUCAAACAAGUCGAGACAGUCCGAGAAUAUGUGAAGAAAUUUUCGGGACUAAUGCUCGAUAUAAAGGACAUGUCCGAAGUAGACAGACUCUUCUGCUUCCUCGAGGGACUGAAAUCGUGGGCCAAACAAGAACUUCAAAGACAGCGUGUGUCUGAUCUUGCCACCGCUCAAGCUGCUGCUGAACGCUUAACAGAUUACACUUCGGAGAGCAGCCUGCCGAAAAGGGCUACUCCUCCAACCAGCUCGAGUAGCGCUGGGAGUAAGAAGUCUGGGAAGUCAAGAGUGAGGGAGAGAAGAGGACAACUGAGUCCAAUUCUUCCAGUGGUACAGAUGCUGUUGCAGGGAGGAAGCCGCUAGCUUGUUGGCUUUGCAAAGGCCCACAUAAGUCGGCAGUUUGCUCUUACAGGGGCAAGCUGAAUGCCCUUAUUGGCCAAGAACAACAGGGCGAAGGAGAAGAAGAAGACGAAGAGUACGCGUACAUGGGCGCUGUCCGCCUGUUGAAUGCUCUCAAGAAACAUGGCAAAAAAGGGAAGAAGACCCUGGGGAAGGGGCUAAUGUUCAUGGAUGCCACUAUCAAUGGCAAGCCCGCCAAAAGCGUGAUGAUUGAUACUGGCGCCACCCACAACUUCAUCUCUGAACUUGAAGCAAAGCGACUGGGACUGAAUCUGGAGAAAGACGCAGGCCGCAUGAAAGCGGUCAACUCCAAGGCCUUGGCCACAACUGGCGUGGCUAAAGGGGUAAAAGUUAGAAUCGACACGUGGGAGGGGCAGACUGACUUAGUGGUCGUCCAUAUGGACGGCUUUGAUGUAGUUUUGGGAAUGGACUUUUUAACCGAGAAAGGUGCCAUUCCAAUUCCUGCCACUGGAAGCUUACUCAUAAUGGGAGAGACUCCUUCAAUGGUGUCUGCAAAGGUGAAACCACCCCCUGGUGUGAAGCUUCUAUCAGCUUUACAGUUCAAGAAGGGUGUGAAGAAGCAGAAGCCCACUUAUGUAGUUGUACCCACUGUGUUUGAAGAAGUAGUGGAAGAGAUUGUUCCACUAGAAAUUACGAGGAUCUUAAAGACGUAUGGGGACGUGAUGCUAGAUAAACUCCCCAAACCCUUGCCACCAAAGAGGGGGAUUGAUCACCAGAUAGAGCUGCCUCCAACAAAAGCGCCAUAUAGAAUGGCACCCCCUGAGCUAGAAGAGUUGAGGAAACAACUAAAAGAGUUAUUGGAGGCAGACUUUAUCAGACCGUCGAAAGCACCAUUUGGCGCCCCUGUGCUAUUCCAGAAGAAGCACGAUGGGAGCUUGAGACUGUGCAUCGACUAUAGGGCUCUCAACAAGGUGACAGUUCGCAACACCUACCCCAUCCCUCUGAUUGCUGAUUUGUUCGACUAGCUAAGUGGAGCCAAAUACUUCACAAAGUUGGACUUGAGAUCGGACUACUAUCAGGUGAGGAUUGCAGAUGGGGAUGAACCAAAGACAACGUGCGUUACUCGAUACGGAGCAUUUGAGUAAUGCUGUUUGGGUUGACAAAUGCACCUGCUACUUUCGAUACACUGAUGAACCAAGUAUUCCACGAGUAUCUAGAUAAGUUCGUGGUGGUGUACUUGGAUGAUAUCGUGGUUUAUAGCGCCACGAUUGAAGAGCAUCAAGAACACUUGGCUCAAGUGUUUCAGAAGUUGAGAGUGAACCAGCUAUAUGUGAAGCGCGAAAAAUUCUCGUUUGCACAGGAGAGCAUCAAGUUCUUAGGCCACGUGGUGGAACGUGGCCGAAUUCGUAUGGAUCUGGAAAAGGUGAGGGCAAUCCAAGAAUGGAAAGCCCCCACAAAUGUGAAAGAACUCCGCUCUUUCUUGGGCCUAGCCAACUACUAUGGACGAUUUGUGGAUGGCUACUCAAGAAGAGCAACACCCUUGACUGAGCUACUGAAAAAGGGUGUGACUUGGGCGUGGACUGACAAGUGUGCUGAAGCAUUCGAGAGUUUGAAAGAAGCCAUGAUGAAAGAUCCUGUUCUUGCCUUGCCAAAUGUCAGCAAGCCCUUCGAAGUACAGACAGAUGCCUCAGAUUAUGCUCUGGGAGGGGUACUAGUACAAGAAGACCACUCGGUAGCAUAUGAGAGCCGCAAGCUGUUUGAAGCUGAGAUGCGGCAUACUGCCUAGGAGAAAGAAAUCCUCGCAGUUAUACAUUGCUUGCGAGUGUGGAGACAUUACUUGCUGGGGUCAAAGUUCGUGGUGAAGACGGAUAAUGCAGCGGCUAGUCAUUUCCUCACUCAGCCGAAACUAACCCCUAAGCAGGCUCGAUGGCAGGAGUUCGUGGUUGGAUUCGACUUCCGUUUUGAGCACAAGGCAGGAUGCUUGAACCAGGCAGCUGACGCCUUGAGUCGCAAAGCAGAAGUGGCGACUCUAAAGAUCCUGGCUAGUUUGUCGGCUAGCGUGGUGAACACUUCACUCAAGGCGUGCAUCAAAGAAAACCUGGAGAAAGACUCGGUUGUCAGGACCAUCCCGAAGCUCGUAAAAGAAGGCAAGAUUCGCUAGUUAUGGGUGGAGGAUGAUCUUCUGUGGGCUAAAGGGGGUCGCUUGUAUGUUAUGAAAGCUGGAGAUUUGCGGAGGACAUUACUAAGCGAGUGUCAUGACACCUUGUGGGUAGGUCAUCCAGGGUGGCAGAGAACCCAUGCCCUCUUGAAGCAGGGAUACUACUGGCCACAAAUGCGAGAUGAUGUAGUGGAGUCCACCAAGACCUGUCUCGUCUGCCAGCAAGACAAGGUCGAUAGGAAUAAGACACCUGGGUUGUUGGAGCCCUUGCGAGUCCCAAGCCGACCAUGGGAGAGAGUGUCGCUUGACUUUAUCACCAGUCUACCGAAGAUAGGGGAUUUAAGUGCGAUCUUGGUGGUCGUGGACAGAUUCUCGAAGUACGCAACAUUCAUCCCAGUGUCGAAGUACUGUUCGGCAGAAGAGACAACCCGACAAUUUUUCAAGCAUAUUGUCAAAUAUUGGGGAGUGCCCCAGAACAUUGUUAGUGACCGAGAUGGAAGAUUCACUGGGACCUUUUGGUCCGAACUAUUCAGUCUCUUGGGGUCACAACUGAACAUAUCCUCGAGCUACCAUCCACAGACAGAUGGGCAGACAGAAAAAUUCAACGGGAUGUUGGAGGAGUACUUGCUCCACUUUGUCAAUGCCAAUCAGAAGAAUUGGCCGCAACUACUCGAUGUAGCUCAAUUUUGCUUCAACUCUCAAGAGUUCUUCAUCGAAUAAGAGCCCUUUUGAAGUUGUUAAUGGACAGCAACCACUAUUGCCCCACACAGUGGACGAAUAUUGCGGUCGGAACCCGCGAUCCUUUCACUUCACAAAAGACUGGAAGAAAACGACAGAGAUUGCCCGAGCUUAUUUAGAAAAAGCAUCACGAAGAAUGAAGAAGUGGGCAGAUCAGAAGCGCAGACCACUGGAGUUCAAAGCAAGUGACUUAGUGUUAAUCAAGCUGAGGCCCGAACAGUUGAGAUUCCGAGGGGACAAAGACAUCAGACUCGUUCGCAAGUACGAGGGUCCGGUCUCAAUCAUCUCAAAAGUUGGCCUAACUUCCUACAAAGUCGACCUACCAGCAUGGAUGAAGAUACACCCGGUCCUUCACGUCAGCAACUUGAAGUCGUAUCAUGAAGAUCCAGCAAAUCCAGAGCGCAACCAGUCAACCAGAGGAGUCAUCGUUCAGCCAAGGAGCAAGCGUCAACCUGAAGAAAUCCUAGCGGAAAGGACAGUCACCACUGAUCGUAAAAAGCAUAAAGAGUAUGGUAAAAUGGAAGGGGCUCGUAGAUGACGAGAUCAGCUGGGAGAGGGCGGAAGACUUAAAGAAGCUCACGCAGAAGAUUGAAGAUCUACAGGCUACUUCGUCGAGGACGCCGAAGGAUUGAGUGGGGGAGAGUGUGGCGUGCUGCCCCUUUGGCACACCCACAUGGGGCCAUUUUGUAAGUGAGCAUGCCUUGGUGUUUGAUCAUUAGUCAAGUCUUGCACCAAGCAACCUCAUGGGAUAGGGUAGUGGCAGUUUUGUAAUUAUGCAUAUGUCUCCUAGACAAAAAUCAUAUAUGUUCCUGGGAAUACCUUAUUUCCCUAGAAGGCUCCUUAGGGGGAGGUGACCUGGUGACUUAGGGAAGCACCAUGACCAUCAGCAGAUAGGGGCCAAAGCUGUGUGUGUGUUGUAGGCUGACUUGCUAGCUUGAAGAGUCUGCAAGUGCUGCACGUUCCGUCUAGUUGGAGUACCCAAAUAGCCGGCCCGUGACACCUGGCACCAGGUGAUGCAUUGCCUAGCACAAGGCGAUGUAUCGCUUGGUCCAUUUUAGUCCGUUUUUCAAGGGUCAGGCGACUUGCUGCCUCCUAUAGGGGACACAUCGUCGAUGUCUAUGUAAUAACGCUCCAAACUUUGUCUCAAAACAUCCCAAAAUGCCCCCAAACUUCUUAGGUACUCUUGUGUACUCAAAUUAAAAAUUUUGGACCCAAAAUGAUGAUUUAUAAAUACUUAUACUGAAAGUUAACUUUCA